GGCCUACCGGAUUGCCUUAGCUCGUGUGGGGAAGAGCCUUUCACGAAGUACAAGACUUUAAGUAUCUGCUAGCACUCAACAUGAAGGAUUUAGAGGAUAGGUUGUGCAACAUGUUACGGAGUCGUCCUCGGUGGAAAAGUUCUUCGGUGAAGAAGUGUCAAGUGGUACAGUGUGUCCAAAUGGGAUUUGCUGGACAUGGUGUAUGAAGUCGGAAAAUUGUUCGGAGAAGACCGGAGUCGUCAAGUCCUAGAUGAAGCUGUGUCUGCUGUUCAGGGAUGUGAGAAGAGGUGCAACGUCGAACAGGUCAUAAAGACUUUGGUUAGUGAAUUUAAAGGGCAUGGGGUGUCUCUUCUUGAGGCUGACAAAAUCGGGCAGUUUGUCCUACUAAGUCGCGAUGAGUUUUCAUGUAGGGAGAAGGCAGCCUUAGAAAAGAACUUCGUUCCUGUUAGGAGUAGCCAUGUUAAAGAGUGUAAGAGGAAGAUUAUAGAGUUGUUUAGGAAGAAUGAUCGGGAGGGUUUGUGUAAUGCAAUCAGGAAGACUGUUGGGCAGUUUUUGAAAGUGUUUUAUUUGGUCAAACUUCAUAAGGAGGGAUACCCUUUUCGGGUUGUUAUUUCGGAAAGAAACACAUGGCAAGGGGUGGUUAGUACCUUUUUAUUGAAAGGUCCCAAUGAGCUGAAGUUUGAAGACCCGUUUAGAAUUACAAACUCCUGCGGUGUAAUUGAAAAGUUAAGGUGUGUUGAAAGUAAGAAGGUUCGUUUUUUUUUCUUUGGAUGUUGUUGAUCUGUUCCAUAGUUUGCCUUUGCAUAUCAUUUCUGCGUGUGUACAGGAAGCAAUAUCUGUUGGGUUAGUGUCCUUCCAAAAUACUGUUGGUGUAUCAGCUAGUGUUUUCAUGGAUAUUCUAGAAUUGUAUUUAGAUUCUACUGUUGUGCAGGUGUCGGGUGGGGUUUUCCGACAACGGGAUGGUGCGUGUAUAGGAUCAAAAAUUGCUCCGGUACUUAAUGAUUUGGUUUUGGCUAAGGUAGAUAGAGCUGUUUCUGAGAACUUGGGGGGUGGGAGAUUUGGGGUUGAAUUUAUUACUAGGUAUGUUGAUGACUUUCUGGUAUGUGUGAGUAUGGAAGGAGAUGAAUCGGGUAUACAGGGUUUGUUUGUUGGAGAGGGUUUAGGUUUAAAGUUUACUGUGGAAAGGGAAGGAAAUGGUCAAAUUCAGUACUUGGAUCUUCGGAUUUCCUCUGAUGGGAUUGGAGUAUGUUGGGAAUAUUGCCAGCGAUGUAAAAAACCGUUAAAGGGACGGUCUCGUACAGCCGGGGCGAUUCCGAAACUUUGGUACUACUAUCUUCACGA